CGAAAUUUCCGGUGUUUGUUUUGUGUAAAAUGAAUUCCCAUAGGAAAACAUUUUACAAACACGGGUAAAAUCAAAAGCAAAUUUUAGAAAUUGUCUUACCGAUUUCUAAUCCGUAAGACAUUUUCCCUCUUCUCUUCUAAGUAGUGGUUCUCCCUCUUCCUCUGACUCCUCAUCUCCGUUCGUUGGCCUCACCGCACCAUCUUUGCAUCGUCAUCUCUGUCGGUCGACCGUCGGCCUUGCCUCUGUAUUCUAAAGAAACCCUAAAACAUUAGGGUCCACAGUCAAGAAAAAUUCAUCUCUGAUCUCCUCGAGAGAGUUAAGGCAUUGCAUAUUCGGGACAUGGAUGUUGUAGUUGAGCCCGGAAUUGGAUGGAUGGAACUUAAUGAAUACUUGGAGCCUUAUGGUUUAUUUUUCCCUCUUGAUCCAGGGCCUGGUGCAACAAUAGGAGGCAUGUGCUUAACACGCUGCUCUGGAUCUUUAGCCAUGAUGUAGUUGCUACUCUACUACUGUCUUUCUUUGCAUUCCCUAGUUGCCCCCUUAGUCUGUUGAAAA